rfam:Aedes aegypti strain Liverpool supercont1.707 genomic scaffold, whole genome shotgun sequence.
ACAACGGCCCUUAUAAGGGCCCCAUAAUAUUCUACAAUAAUUAACGG